rnacentral:misc_RNA from 1 species
CAUUUCAACUGGCAUACAGUUUGGAUUUUUGGGUUGUCUGAGUACUGUUUCAACUUUCAUAGCUGAAUACAAUGCCAUGGAAGAAAGUAAUAAAACUUGGGNAUGCUUAUGCUCUAAUAACAAUACUCAUGUCAUUUGGCUUGGGGAUCCUGAUAUACUCCGUACCUGUUUGGACUAAGGGAUAUGACUGACAUAUGCUACGGC